GAUGAACGCUGGCGGCGUGCUUAACACAUGCAAGUCGAACGGAAAGGCCCAAGCUUGCUUGGGUACUCGAGUGGCGAACGGGUGAGUAACACGUGGGUGAUCUGCCCUGCACUUCGGGAUAAGCCUGGGAAACUGGGUCUAAUACCGGAUAGGACCACAUUUUGGAUGGUGUGGUGGAAAGUUGUUCGGUGUGGGAUGAGCUCGCGGCCUAUCAGCUUGUUGGUGGGGUAAUGGCCUACCAAGGCGUCGACGGGUAGCCGGCCUGAGAGGGUGUACGGCCACAUUGGGACUGAGAUACGGCCCAGACUCCUACGGGAGGCAGCAGUGGGGAAUAUUGCACAAUGGGCGCAAGCCUGAUGCAGCGACGCCGCGUGGGGGAUGACGGCCUUCGGGUUGUAAACUCCUUUCGCUAGGGACGAAGCGUUUUUGUGACGGUACCUGGAGAAGAAGCACCGGCUAACUACGUG
rnacentral:rRNA from 1 species